rnacentral:rRNA from 2 species
AGUCGAACGGGCACUUCGGUGCUAGUGGCAGACGGGUGAGUAACACGUGGGAACGUACCUUUCGGUUCGGAAUAAUUCAGGGAAACUUGGACUAAUACCGGAUAAGCCCUUCGGGGGAAAGAUUUAUCGCCGAUAGAUCGGCCCGCGUCUGAUUAGCUAGUUGGUGAGGUAAUGGCUCACCAAGGCGACGAUCAGUAGCUGGUCUGAGAGGAUGAUCAGCCACAUUGGGACUGAGACACGGCCCAAACUCCUACGGGAGGCAGCAGUGGGGAAUAUUGGACAAUGGGCGAAAGCCUGAUCCAGCCAUGCCGCGUGAGUGAUGAAGGCCUUAGGGUUGUAAAGCUCUUUUGUCCGGGAAGAUAAUGACUGUACCGGAAGAAUAAGCCCCGGCU